rnacentral:lncRNA from 1 species
CGUUCCUCGUCACUCUCUCCCUUACUCUCUUUUGUGUGUGCGCGCGCGCGCGCAACAGUCGGUAUUUAUAAAUAAAUGCCUCGGCCACGUGCUAUGGGAGAAAUGGAAUGGCGUUUGGAGAGUGCUUUAACUCGAGCAAAAAGUAUCAAACGGAAGAAGAUAGUCGUGAUGACAUAAAGGGGUUGGAGAGCGUGCCGAUGACCUUGACCCGGAGACAGGAGGUCGUGAACCAAGGCGAACUGACAGCUCGAUUGCGAAAGGUGGAUGCGCCCAAAGGAAGAUUUCUGCUUGGUUAAGAGAAAAGGACGAGUCCAAUUCAAGAGAGGAAGAUGAUAAGAUCCUGUCUAGAUGCGAUUCAUUUUGCUUUCUAUUUUUUUUAAGCUCCCUCAUAAAUUAUUUAGUCUUUCGUUAUAAGAGAUGGUGAAAAAAAGAAAGAAAAAAAGAGAGAGAGAAAAAAAUGACAGAGACAAUAAGGAAA